rnacentral:rRNA from 1 species
AACGCGAAGAACCUUACCAGGUCUUGACAUCCUCUGACACCCCUAGAGAUAGGGCGUUCCCCUUCGAGGGACAGAGUGACAGGUGGUGCAUGGUUGUCGUCAGCUCGUGUCGUGAGAUGUUGGGUUAAGUCCCGCAACGAGCGCAACCCUUGAUCUUAGUUGCCAGCAUUCAGUUGGGCACUCUAAGGUGACUGCCGGUGACAGACCGGAGGAAGGUGGGGAUGACGUCAAAUCAUCAUGCCCCUUAUGACCUGGGCUACACACGUGCUACAAUGGGCGGAACAACGGGAAGCGAGACCGCGAGGUGAAGCGAAUCCCAUAAAGCCACUCUCAGUUCGGAUUGCAGGCUGCAACUCGCCUGCAUGAAGCCGGAAUUGCUAGUAAUCGCGGAUCAGCAUGCCGCGGUGAAUACGUUCCCGGGUCUUGUACACACCG